rnacentral:lncRNA from 1 species
CUGCGCGCACUUGAAAAGCCAACAGGCUCAUUGGGCAGCCGAUAAAGCUCUCGGGAUUUCCCCGCGGGGCUGCGGAGAGUACAGACAGGAAGCCUGGGGACCCAGCGCCUGACCAGAACUUCCUCGGGGGAGGCUGCAGGGGAGCAGGCGCAUCCUGCACAGAACGCUCUAGAGCGCGCAGGCCAAAGCACCAGGCUGCUCCUGACACGUGCUGCAAGAGGGUCCCCGACCCGGGGGUCCAGACCCUGCACGCAUGAUGGGGAAGGUGGAGGCUUCCCCCUCAGCUCCGCGGAGAGAAGCUGACACUGCCAGGCUGGAACCUUCCAUUCCGGCCCAGCCUCUUCCUCCCUCGCUGUGCCGAGGAGGGAUCUAGAAGGGACUUUCCAGAGAGGGUUAGCGUGCAGGGUGUGGAAAUGGAAUAAAAGCAUAUGCAAAUAGGCCUUAGCUGCCUUCCUCUACCCCAGCAAAUAAGAGUCUCUCCAGAAAGAUGCUCUUUCUCCAAGACGCUUGACCGCUCUUCCUUUCCUGGAUGGCACCAGCAGGGCCGAUUGGAGUGGUAAACCCUGGGCCGGAAGGCAUGCCAAAGGGUGGACAGGAUGGACAGGAGACAGUAGCACAACGAGGAGGGGGAGAACAGCGGCUGAAUUGGAAAUGAUAAAAUAAAAUGAAAUUUUAGGAGCUCGCUGGCUGGGACAGGCCUGGACUGCAAGGAGGGGUCUUUGCACCAUCUCUGAAAAGCCGAUGUGUAUCCUCAGCUUUGAGAACUGAAUUCCAUGGGUUGUGUCAGUGUCAGACCUCUGAAAUUCAGUUCUUCAGCUGGGAUAUCUCUGUCAUCGUGGGCUUGAGGACCUGGAGAGAGUAGAUCCUGAAGAACUUUUUCAGUCUGCUGAAGAGCUUGGAAGACUGGAGACAGAAGGCAGAGUCUCAGGCUCUGAAGGUAUAAGGAGUGUGAGUUCCUGUGAGAAACACUCAUUUGAUUGUGAAAAGACUUGAAUUCUAUGCUAAGCAGGGUUCCAAGUAGCUAAAUGAAUGAUCUCAGCAAGUCUCUCUUGCUGCUGCUGCUACUCGUUUACAUUUAUUGAUUACUUACGAUGAUUCAGGUACUGUUGUAAGUGCUUUACAUGCUGUUAUACGAGACUCUUGGGAGAAAUCACUUUAAUGAAGCUUGAGACACAUGGCAUUGCCAUGCAAUGAUUUUUCCCCCCUCUUCACGGGAUCAGAGGGAACUAAUAGAAUGUGACAAUGAUUCUUUAGCAGGGACUGCUGAGGCUUCUGGUUCCUUUUUAAGAUCUGCAGUGAAAGAAGAUGAGAAACAUGGAUAUGCCCUUCUUUUGGUCCCCCUCUUCCUUUAUUUGAUCUCUACUUCCUUCUAUAAAUAUAUUAGGGCUACAUUGUCCCUUUGUAUUUCAAACAAGGCAAAAAGAGGUUGUAAUUACACUUUACUGCAAUCCUCAGUUUCUCCAGGGAACAGGAAUGCAAAGGCUUUGAAGGCCUCUCUAUUUGCUGACAUGGUCAGCUGGGUGCCAUGGGCCAAGUCCUUCUGUUGCCCUCCUCUGUCACCAAGUAAGCUAGGUCCUUUCUGAGGCUCAGGUUUGCUGUGAUGAUGAUCACUUUUAGGCAGAAGGUUAGAGGCCUCAUGAGUGCUAUAUGGACUUUAUUAGGCUUUAGAUUUGAUGGGGAAUAAGGGAUGUGAUUUGUCUUUUGGGAACUCAUCUUUGAUUCAUCAUUGUCUCUUGGUAUCUUGGAAUUUCCAUGUCAUUACAGUCUACAGAAUGAAAGAGUAACCUGUCCCAGAGGAGAGGCAGGUGAAAGACUCCACAGCAUGCUCAUUCUCAUUCUGUCUUCUCAGUGACACCGAGGUUUACUGAGUGCCCACUAUGUGCCAAGCACUGUGCUCAGGGCUUUCUUUGUAUGCAUGAUCUCAGUGAAUCUCACCAAGCCUCAUCUGGAAAACGGGGACAAAUUAACAACAGGAUGGCAAAUUGAAAAACACGUAACCAUGUUCUACAGAUGGAAAGGGGUGCUUGGUUAUUAUGAAGGCCCCCUCGCAAGCGUGUGGGACAUGGGUGUGUUCUCUGGGUUGUACUGAUCAGAUCAAGGACCUCCCCCACCCUUCUCACACUCUGCCCACUUCCGCCCUUUGCUUAUCAGACCCUUAGCCAGUGACUCAUUCCAGAACCAGAACCUUGGUGAAAUCUCAACCGACACCAGAGAUCGGUGUCUUCAGUCCUAGACUGAUGGAGAAAAUCCAGAAUAUAUACUAGAAGCUCCAAAUGCUCUGGGUUUCAGCUCCUCUGUGCUGUGGACACUGACUUUGGCUCAGAACUCCGAUUUAGUACAAAAGGCUCAUUUUUAUUUCAGGGGCACUCUUCCUAAAGCAAACCUAAUAAAUGAAAUAUGGAAUUCACAGAUACACACACACAUUAAAAAAUUAACCUAGUGUAUCUGUGAGGAGUAGGCAGAAAUUCACUGUAUAAAAGAAUGCUUCAUUUCAUAGAGAAUUUGUGUUAAGAUUCCAUUAGAUAGUACAUUUCUCAAAGAUUUUUGAGGUUGUAUUUGCUUUACCAAAACUUGGUUUAUGUAAGUGGAAAAAGCAUGUUGCAAAAUAACUUGGUGUCUAUGAUUCAGUUUAUGUAAAAUAAUAAAUGUAUGUAGGAAUACGUGUGUUGAAAGAUGUACAUCAAUUUGCUAACAAUGGUUAUCUCUGACGUGGUGGGAUUUGAGAUGUGUUUUUCUUUUUGGUUGUAUUUUUCUCUAUUGUUUGACUUAACACAGAACAUGUUUGGUUACAACAAUAAAGUUAUUGAAGACAAUAUAACACCCAAUUGUGAUGAGUCCAGACAGUACUCAUGCUGUGCAUUUAUUAGACAGUAUGCCAUAGAGGUGGGUCAUGGAGGAGUGGAGAGAGAGCCCUGAUUUGUUGUCCCAUGAAGAAGAUAGGCACAGGGUAAUAUGUAGUGUGAUUCUUUUUUUUUUUGCACGAGGAGAAGUGUGUGUGUAUCCGUGUAAGUGUAUGGAUAUCCAGUGGGUAGUGGGUGUUAAGAUUGCAAGUGAUUUUUUUCCCCUCUCCCUUAAUCAUGCUUUUCUGCCUAAAUAAAAAAAGAACUCUCUCCAAAAAUCCAUCCAUGUGUGCCAGUGGUUUUUAAAUGUGUUUCUUGGAGCAGCAGCAUCAGUAUCACCUGUGACUUUUUUUUUUUUUUUUUUGAGUCACUCUGUCACCCAGGCUGGAGUGCAGUGGCAUGAUCUUGGCUCACUGCAACCUCCGCCUCCUGGGUUCAAGCAAUUCUCUUGCCUCAGCCUCCCAAGUAGCUGGGAUUACAGGCGCCUGCUACCAUGCCUGGGUAAUUUUUAUAUUUUUAGUAGAGACGGGAUUUCACCAUGUUGGCCAAGCUGGUCUUAAACUCCUGACUGCAGGUGAUUCGCCCACCUUGGCCUCCCAAAGUGUUGGGAUUACAGGCAUGAGCCACCACGCUUGGCCUGGGAAUGACUUUUGGAUUAGCUAACCAACCUGUGAACUUUUUAGAAAUGUAAAUUUUCAGGCCCCACUCAAGACCUCCUGAAUAGAAAACUCUAGGGGUAGGGCCCAGCAAUUUCUGUUUUACCAACCCUUUGGCUGACUUUUAUGCACACUAAAGUUUUAGUACUGAUAGGGUCAAUCAAGGGACAUCUGCAUUCCCCUGGAACUGAAAUAUAGCUGACAUUGACAUGAAAGAUGCUGGCCCACUCCUACAAGUAUGCAUGCAAGUAUUCCGCAAAACUUAUUUCUGAGAGAUGAACAGCAGGACCCCAAAACUUCAAGAUGGUUACAAGUGAUAUUUCCACCGGUGAAUAGUAGAUUUCUAGGUUUUUAAUGUGCAAACUUUAGGUGCAUAAAACCGCUUGAAGAAGUUGUCAAUUAAGGCAGGUCAUGCCCCUGACCCACAGACUAGGCAUUUCCAAAGUAUCUGUCAUUUUAACCAUCACUCACUGAAUGUCAUCAAGGAGGUCCUAGGACGACACUUAGAGCAACUAUUCCAGGCUUUUUCAAAUGCUGUUUUCCCCCUCCGUACUAUUAUGUUUCUUCUUCCCAAUUCAUCCUUUCUCUUCCUGUUGUGAUUGAUGGGGUCUCAGAAGCAGAUUAGCCAUCCUUUCGGCUCUGUGCUUGGGAGAGAAUAGCUCACAUGCUGCUAGAGAGGUGCCUUGGGAGUAAUAAUAAUGAUAAUGGAAGUAUUGAUUUGCCAUCCUCUGAUAACAAAGGAAGGUCAUGAUUUAUCAGCUCACAUUAAUGGGAUGAGGUGGAAAGUUGGACACACUACCUCACAGUCUGCCUUUCCCUUGUGCUAGGUUGCUGGGAUUCACUGAUUUAGGGACACAGUGGUUUCCUAAGUCCUGCCAGCAGUCAAACCUUUGUUAGUUAAAAUGGAAAUUUCUUUUUUUCAUAUUUUCUCACAUCUAGACUCUUGCCCUCUUUUCUAAUAAUAUUUCAGAGAGGCAGCUCCCAGUUUGGGUGUCCAGGUGGUCAGAGAGUCUGGAAAAAUGCUCUGGGGGCAGGAAACCAGGGUACAAGCCAUCUUGUCUAGUUCCUCUUUGCUCUUCUUAGCACUAAGGUGAUUUCACAACAGUUUUUUAAGGAUGUUCUGCUCCUAUCUCCUGCGGAAGCCCUUCCAAGUAGAAGAGUUAAUUUUGAUUAUUCCUGGGAAAGUGCAGAAAAUAUAAUUACAACUUUAUUGGAUAUUUACAAGAUACACAAGGUAUCUUGUAAUAAUGAAAGAUUUCUCUAUUUUCUAUAUCUGAAAACUGAGGCUCAGGGAGGUUACAUAAUUUGCUUAAAUUUCACACACAACAUGUUAAGUGUCACAGCUAGGAUGUUAAUCAGGACUGCACAGUAAGAACCUAUGUUCCUUUCACUAAAGUUUGUACUGUGUUAGGAUUUACAAUUUGUAAAGCACUUUAACACACAUUAGUAUAUUUGCUGAACACCACAUUCUUCCGUGAAAUAGCUCUUCUUUUUUUUUUUCUCUUUGAGACAGAGUCUUGCUCUGUCACCCAGGCUGCAGUGCAGUGGUGUGGUCUCAGCUCACUGCAACCUCCGCCUCCUGGGUUCAAGCAAUUCUCCCUGCCUCAGCCUCCCGAGUAGCUGAGAUUACAGGUGCCCACCACCACGCCUGGCUAAUUUUUGUAUUUUUUACUAGACAGGGUUUCGCUAUGUUGGCCAGGCUGGUCUCGAACUCCUGACCUCAAGUGAUCUGGCUGCCUUAGCCUCCCAAAGUCCUGGGAUUACAGGCGUGAGCCACUGUGCCUGGCCAUAGCUCUUUUCAUAAUCCUAAUUUUAGAGAUAGGAAAGUGGAAUUUUCAAAAGAUUUUGCAACGUAUCUGUGCCCCGUGCCAUAUAGCUGGUAACUGGUGACGUGGAGCCUCAAAACCAAAAUCCCUAUAGCAAAAAGAUCAUUUUUACUUAAAAAAUGUAUACAAAUAUACAUGAACUUAGAAGGAAGGAAAGAAAAAAAAUCUUUUGCCUCUGUUUCUGCAGUGUGACUGAAAACAGAAGAGCAUGCAUUGAGGCCCACUCUGACUUAUUCCUCCACCUGUGCCUUUGGUCAGCAGGAGUGAGCCCCCGUCCAUGACCAAUUCCACCCCAAGGACACAGUUAUACUUUAAAAUAUGUGACAAUUGAGAAGCCAUAUGUGCUUUUUCUUUGGGUCCUGCAAUGCUCCUAAGACUGGUCAGAUUCCACUGUCUCUGAUCAGCACAUGUUUAUUUAUUUAUUUAUUUAUUUUAUUUCUGAGACAGUCUCUCUCUGUCACCCAGGCUGGAGUGUAACGGUGCGAUCUCGGCUCACUGCAACCUCUGCCUCCCGAAUUCAAGCAAUUCUCCUGCCUCAGCCUCCUGAGUAGCUAGAACUACAGGCAUGCACCACCAUGCCUGACUAGUUUUUGUAUUUUUAGUGGAGAUGGGGUUUUGCCUUGUUGGCCCGGCUGCUCUGGAACUCUUGACCUCAAGUGAUUCACCUGCCUCAGCCUCCCAAAGUGCUGGGAUUACAGUUGUGAGCCACCACACCUGGCCAUAUUUCCUUAUUUUAAAACUUAUUUUUCUUCUUAUAUAUGUAAUAUGAAUUUAUGGCAAAUAAGUUUGAAAAUAUGGGAAAGUAUAAAAGAGAAAAUUUGAAGUUAUUAAAAUUUUUAAAUUAUGAAAUUAUGAUUUUUUUUACUGGAAAUUUAGAGAAUUCAGAAAAUCAUAGGAGAAAAAAGUUAUCUAUACACUUAUAGAUUACCAUUUUGGGUUAUUUCUUUUCAUUUUCACUUUUUUUUCUUUUACACGAUUGGGAUUAUCUUUAAUUUGUGUAUCUGUGUUCUGUGUUCUGUUGUUUAACAUUUUAUAGUAUGCUUUUCUUCAUGUCCUUGCAUGGUCUUUUUAUUUAUUUUAAAUGGGUGCAUAUGCAGUUCAUGGGCUGGAUGCGCCUUUGUUUACAUGAUCAUUUCCUUAUUAUCAGACAUUCUGAACCUGGGUCUCCUGACUCUAAAUCUGCUGCUAUUUUUUGUCCCCACAUAUCUGUCUCUAUUUCCUUUAGCUUCUUGUUUGCAUUUAUUUGAGAAUUAAUUGUGAUGAUUUUAGGAGUGUAAAAAACAGUAUAAAUAAAUGUGUCUUGUAUUACUACAUAACGGUGCUAGUGUUGAGGAUUUACUAUGUGCCAAUCUCUAUUUCAAUACUUUGAACAGCUUCUCAUUAAAGCCCCCGCCUCCCACAACAACAGUAGAUAGUUAUUAUUCCCAUUAUAUAGAUGAUAUCACAGACAUACACAGAGGGUAAGUAUCAUAGCACAUUCAUUUGUGUCUAGCAAAACUUCAGCUUACAGAGCCAUAUACAAAUAGGCAUUUAUUUGUUCUUAGCCAGUCUGAAUAUGAGCAACUACUACUAGCAUUUGGGUUAGAGUCUCAGUGACAUCAAGGCUGUUGUCACUGCAGAAAUUUUCUCCUGUGCCUCUUGGUUUUAAAGUGGCUGCAAAAGCCAUAGAUAUCACAUCCUGAUUCAGGGGAGGAAGAGAGAGAAACAGAUGGUGUGGACUGGUCACAUCCGCUCCUUUUAUCAAGAAAGCACAUUUUCUUUCCAGAACCCCCUUCAUCUCCCCAGCAGAAUUCCACUCAUGCAUUAUUGUGUUUUUCAUGACCACUGCCAACUCCAGAAGAGACUGGGAAAAUGAAUGUUUUAACUUUUUCAGCCUCUGGAGUGGAAGAGAGGUUUGGGAAUGACUUUUUUCUUUUUCUUUUUUUGACACAGAGUCUCACUCUGUCACCCAGGCUAGAGUGCAGUGGCAUGAUCUUAACUCACUGCAGCCUCCACCUCCUGGGUUCAAGUGACUCUCGUGCCUCAGCCUCCCAAGUAGCUGGGAAUACAGGCAUGUGUCACCAUGGCUGGCUAAUUUUUGUAUUUUUAGUAGAGGCAGGAUUUCACCAUGCUGGUCAGGCUGGUCUUGACUCCUGAUGUCAAGUGAUCCACCUGCCUCUGCCUCCCAAAGUGCUGGGAUUACAGGCUUGAGCCACUGCACCUGGCCUGGGAAUCACUUUUGCUCUGGAUUAAGUUAUGUCCCCCAGAAUUCAUAUGUUGAAGCCCUAACCCCCCAGUGUGACUGUAUCUAGAGAUAGGGUCUAGGAGGUCAUUAUGGUAAAAUGAGGUCAUAAGGGUGGGGCCCUAAGACCCAUAGGACUAUGGCCUUAUAGGAAGAGGAAGAUUCAAUCUCUCUCUCUCUCUCUCUCCUACCCCAUCGCCACCCCCACCCCCCAUGGUGACACAGUGAGAAGGCACCAAACUUGACCAUGUUGGCAUCCUAAUCUCAGACGUCUAGCUUCCAAACUGUGAGAAAACAAAUUUGUUUUUUAAGCCACCCAUUCUAUGGUAUUUUGUUAUGGUAGUACAAGCUGACCAAGACAAAUAGCCACCACAAGAUAUCAGCGCUGGUCAAGUGUUGGUCUUAUUUUUCCUAGCAGCCAAUUUCAUACAGGGGCCAACCAUUGGCUAAGAAUUGGUGUAUAUCACAUCUCUGGCUUGGAUUAUGGUUGGAAGUGGCCCAGUGCCUGUCAAACCUCAUCUCUCACUGAAUAUAACACCAUCUAAUACAUGCCAACAUUUUCAUCAAUAUUACUGUCACCACAAAGUGCCAUUAAAAUAGAAGUGGUUUCAUACAUUAUUUAUCUGCAGCGUGUCUACUGAGUCAUUCUUUUGCUGGAGAGCUGUCUCCUUGGCAUUUAUAAACUUGGUAACAAAUCUGCAGCUCACUGGAUUCCUAUCUUCAGGCUGUGACAGGGAAGAGGAGGCUCCAUGAACUGUUUGGGCUGAAAGUAGUUGCUGUAUCUCUUCCACCAGCCCAGAACACAUUUAUUAAGUGCCUGGUUGCACGUGAUCUGAACGAGGGGCUACACAGUGGACAUUCUGAAAAUGAUUGGCUGUAACCCACUUUCUUUUGGUUAGAGGGGGUUCUAAAAGGAUCCAUUAUUUAUUAGUGAUUUUCAGUUGUGAUUAUUUUUAAAUCAGAAAUUCAAAAUGGCAAUUCUAAUCAGUGGGAAUACAUUAAUGAAUAAAAUAGUCAUUACUGUCUUCAUGGAAUUGACGUUCUAGUAAAGAGGAUAUUUCAUAUAUAAAACUAGAUUUCUGGCUGUUUGAAGUACCAAAAGAACUGACAACUCUGGGCUGCCU